rnacentral:rRNA from 1 species
AGAGUUUGAUCCUGGCUCAGAAUCAACGCUGGCGGCGUGCCUAACACAUGCAAGUCGAACGAGAAAGUGGAGCAAUCCAUGAGUAAAGUGGCGCACGGGUGAGUAACACGUGACUAACCUACCCUUGAGUGGGGGAUAACCUGGGGAAACCUUGGCUAAUACCGCAUAACACCUACGGGUCAAAGGAGCAAUUCGCUUAAGGAGGGGGUCGCGGCAGAUUAGUUAGUUGGCGGGGUAAUGGCCCACCAAGACGGUGAUCUGUAUCCGGCCUGAGAGGGCGCACGGACACACUGGAACUGAAACACGGUCCAGACUCCUACGGGAGGCAGCAGUGGGGAAUUUUGCGCAAUGGGGGAAACCCUGACGCAGCAACGCCGCGUGGAGGAUGAAGUCCCUUGGGACGUAAACUCCUUUCGACCGGGACGAUUAUGACGGUACCGGAAGAAGAAGCCCCGGCUAACUUCGUGCCAGCAGCCGCGGUAAUACGAGGGGGGCGAGCGUUGUUCGGAAUUAUUGGGCGUAAAGGGUGCGUAGGCGGUUCGGUAAGUUUCGUGUGAAAUCUUCGGGCUCAACUCGAAGCCUGCACGAAAUACUGCCGGGCUUGAGUGUGGGAGAGGUGAGUGGAAUUUCCGGUGUAGCGGUGAAAUGCGUAGAUAUCGGAAGGAACACCUGUGGCGAAAGCGGCUCACUGGACCACAACUGACGCUGAUGCACGAAAGCUAGGGGAGCAAACAGGAUUAGAUACCCCCGUAGUCC